rnacentral:lncRNA from 1 species
AUAAACGCAGCAGAAAAUAAAACAAACGAGUCAACGGGUACCCAUGAAAAACAAAACGAGUGAAAACAUCAACAUCUUGCGCCUUGCAAACAACAACGGAAAUCUACGACUGGCCUCGUCCUCCACACCCCGCAAACGCCCAAUCCCCUAAGGUUACCUGCAUAGUAGAAGAGGGAAUGAGUAAUCGAAAUCACUCAGUGAGUUCCCAAAACAAAACAACAACUACCCCCUUCAGCCCAUGCUCAAACAACAAGAGCAACACAACCAAGCAAUGCAAUAAGAACAACAGAAAUUAAAUAUGCAAUGCGAAAAUUUAAACAUGAAUACAAUGCAAAAACUUAAACAUGAAUGCAAUGCAACUACUCUACACCCAAGUUUCCCACCGAGACUUAACUACAAAACUAAGACUCGAUCUAGACUCAAUCCUAGACUCAAACACUACAAAGCAAAACACUCAAAGGAUGGCGCCACACGCAACACAUCCCGGGAUCCCUCACAACACAGAGCCCUAAAUCUCCCAACUGAACACUCCCGACCACAAACGCAGAAGUCACAUGAUCGGAAAACAUCAUUUCCGAGAAUUGGGCAUCUCCCAAUCUAACUCGGGCCGCAUCGUCAUGCAGCGCUUGUCCAUGGGCGCGACCCACUUCACGUGACAAGCCAUGGAGAGAAGGUCACUCCACCACUGGAGAAUUGGGUAUCUCCCAAUCUAACUUUAAGACAGCCAUGCACUUUAGUCUAGUUGCAACACAACACAUCAAAACAAUAAUCAAGCGUGAGGGAGCUCCACCUCUAACCUCCACGCACAACUAGACUAAAUGCACAACACAUCUCACACUCGCCCUAGCCUAGACAAAACAGAAACACACUAGCAUGAGGGGGCAAAGCCACAAACCUCAAUACAACCCUAAGCAUAGACUCAAUCUAAAACAACUAAAGCGAGCGACACACUACAACUACCCGGCAAAAGAGAUUGUCUCACUCAAAUCUCUUUGCAACCCCAAACUACACUACAAUGCAUGAGCAUAUGAACUACAUGAGAGAGUUACACUCAAAUCUUCAUGCUUCACAACAACUCAUAACCUACAACUAAUCAAACGAAUGCAUGCAUGCAACUAACGACCUAACAACACAAUGCAUGUCUAACAUAUCAUCACCCCUAGAUGAAUAUGCUCACCACCACAAGACAUGCAAUGCACAAAUACAACUAAUGCAUGCAAGAAAGUAAACACUCAAGUAUGGGGACUACCAAUCUCCUACACACACACACACACAAACAAUCAUAGCCACAAAUGUGGUUAAAUCACAAGAACUGAAACGUUUCUUGCUCCUCCACCUGCACACACACACGGUUAGAACACACAACACAACCAGGGAAACCCACCUAAGACUUCAGAAACCGCACAACAGCUCCAAAAGCAAAAGACCUAAGGUUAACACUAAAACCGAUCAAAGAGAGGCUAAAGGCUAAGAGGGAAAGGGAACCUACAAACGGUCAACUAAGGUCUUACCACCACUCCUAGCACUCCACAACUGAUCCUAGAGCAAGGAUCAAGCCACGCAAAAGCCUUCCACACUCACCUCACACACUCAAAAAAUUUAUCGGUUUUAAGCCAUUUUCUCUCUCUAGAACAAACCAUAAGAUCGAGUGAGAUAGAAAGCUCAGGGGUUUUUAAACUUCAAAAACACAUCCUAAGGGUUCUAUUUAUAGCCAAAGGGAGGGAUGGGAGCACUUGACACAUGUUCACACACUUGUCACCAAUUUAAACCUGAAAUUCAUGCAUGUGGGUUAAAUACUCUUAAUCUACUCUUUUUCUUCUGAGCUUCUGGAAGGUGACUUACUUUACCUUGACGUUCAAGUGUACCGAAUCUCAGCACAAAACCUGAUCGGCAAGUUACUUUGCGACAUAACCCAUUUUUAAGGCUUAAAUGAGCUAUUUGCAAAACACAUGGUAAACCUACUCCUUAGGUUUGUUCCCCAUUAUUCCUGCAGACUUCAUGAGGUGCUGAAUUGACCAAUGCAUGUUCUCCUUCGUGCCUGACGUGAUUCCACUCUAAAUAAUUUUUCUUCAUGAAGGGCUUUUUUACCACUUUUGGUUAAUGGACUGCUCCACUUACUCCAGGCUUCAAAUGAUUGCUCCAGCCUGCUCCAUUACUUCAUUUGGGUCCUAAAUGAACCUUAGAUGUCGAGGUUUUGAGGUAGAAACCCAUUUCUCCAGUCCAUGUCUUCUUUGCCAUUUAUAGCUCAUUUCGGGUAUAAAAUGUGUCUUCAUGAUUCCUUGCUCUCUAGAUGUCUUUUUCCCAUGAUUUCUUCACCCAAAAAUCCCUUGAUUUAUUCCACACCUUGUCCAGGUUUGAAGAAAUUUUGUCUCCUACCCGUGGCAUGCUCCUAUUGGUUGCUCGGAAGUGGUAAAUGGACCAAUAAGGCACUUUCUCUCUCCUUUGACUUUGGUUGACUUUCACUUCUGAGUUGACCACUUUCAAAACCUGAGGAAAUGUGUAAAACAUCCCUUUGAACUCCUCUCUCAUCUUUGCACAUCUUCAUUUGGCUUCCUUAGCUCUCCUCCAGCUCAUUUUGACCAUAUGGACCAAAACUGCUUUUCUCCGGAUCAUCUUGGUUAUGUGUUGGCUAGACUCUCUAAUAUGUCUUCAAAUACCUUAAAUAACGUUUCUAGGUUAACUCCUUAACUCGUUGAUUUAUGUUGAUCACCUUUGUCUUCAUGCUGCUACCGAACCUCUGAUGUAGACUAUCUCCGGUACUGCUUUUCGACUGCUUCCUUACGCUCUCGAACAAACUUGAUUCUGACUCGACCAAAUGUCUUCUCCUAUCUCAACUUGAUGAUUGAGAUUAAGUCUUACUUGAGUUGCUGACUUUGGAAAUCCUCCAUGUUCGACCAUCACCAUUCCGUAGCUUAGUUUCUAACUCCUCGAACCAUUUUUACUUAUGCUCGAUCGUUCUUCAAAACUUCUCGAUCGAACCUCCAUAAACAUCUUCAUACACCUUUCCACUUUGGUUUCUGGAUGAUUCCACGUCGUCGACUUUGCGUUGACUUGUCCUCUAAGGUCAGGGUUAUUACAUUCUCCCCUCCUUAAAAUGAAUUCGUUCCCGAAUUCACAAGUUACGCCAAACUUUCUGCCACCACCUUUUGUUGGCUACUUCAACUCUUCAUCGUCUUCUAGCUUCUUCGAUUCUACUUCGAUUAUUGAUAAUCUUCUUCCUCUCUUCUUCUUUUUCUUUGACUCUCCUUGAUAUCACCAUUUCUUUACUGCUUCAGCUUCCUCGAUCUGCUCCUUGACUUUUUGUCGUUGAUGCCGCUAUCUGCCCUCACUAUCUUCUUCUUCCUUUGUAAUCCGGCUGCUACUGUUUGAUACUCCUCCAUGUAGGUCUAAACUCCGCUACCAUUUGACCUGAUGCCACCAUCUGAUUCCACCAUUUGAUUCGAAAAUCUUCUACCACCAUUUGAUAUAAAUAAAUUCUUCUACCACCAUUUACUCAUAUCAUGACUGCCUGUUGCGGUACGAUCAACUCAACUGCUUUACCCUUGUCUCCCCUCCUUAGGAAACAACUCCAUCUUGAUCUUCAACAUUCCGUCUCUUCUUCGUCUGGGCUUUCUCCUUCAACUCUUCUUGUCUUCUUCUGGUCUUAGAUUUGACUAGGCUUCAUCUUCUACUCUCAUCACAAUCUUUCUUCUUGGCUUUACACUGUUUGGGCUUCACCACGGCAUCUUCUUGGUUUGGUUUUUCUCUUGACAUCUCUUCUCUGAUUCUUCGGCUUCUGGGCUUUUUAUUAACUUCAUCUCCUCAUGACAUCACCAUUUCAAACAUCAUACACUCUGGUCUUAACGCUUCAGUUACUGCCUUCGUUGCUUCUUCACUAGCUCGAUCACUGAUUGCUCUGGUCUUGCACACAUGAACAUGCACGGAUUGCACGAAAAUCCUUCUUGGGAGAAAGAUCACACCAUCGCUCCUCUUGAAUCCCCACACUGCUUGACGACUCUUGAACAUACGCUGACGACUCUGAACCUUCACAUUGACGACUCUGAACCGUUGCACACUCGUUGCUGAUCUAUACCACGGUUGCCUCUGAUUCCAGAUCUUCCCCACACAUGCACGAUUCUUUUGGUAACAAUACAUGUCCUUCCAACACCAUCAACGCUCACAACACAUCUCAACUUAUGGCUAUAAACAGGGAUCGGUUCCUAAAUCCUAGGAUUUACUCUAUCCUAAACUAACAAGGCUUCUAAAAGAAACUAAACCUAACUACCACAACCUAGCAAGGGCUCAUUAACCGCACUUGCUAAAAGGACACACCGUCCACAACACAACAAGGUUGCACACGCAACGCUCAACAACACAAAGCAAAACAAGCAAGCAAAGCAAAGCAAAGCAACAACUACUACUACAACACCCAAGAGAAAGGAUCAGCGCCCACUUACCUUAGCCGCCACGAGAACCCCAAUCAGGACUCCUAGUAAGGUCAAGGUCUCAGGUUUGAUCCUCCUGUUGUAGAUGAGGCUGAUCGAGCAGGGCUGGUAGGAGGAACAACGGAGAUGGGUACGACUCUGGUCACGUUGGUCAUUGGACAAUCUGCGAUGAAGUGUCCACGCGUCUCACAUGAGCUGCAAAUCAGAUAAGCGCUCAAGUCUGGCUGACUCCUAAUCCUUGUACAAGCCCGAGUAUGAUGAUCAUCCGCUCCACACACAUUGCAUUCUUCUUCGGUUGGAAUGUUGCGAGAGUCUUGAACAUUUGAUGCUGGUCUUCUAUUGGUACUUCCUUUUUCCACUUGUCCACCUAGAGCUCCAUUUGGUCUGGUCCUUCCAUUAUGAGAACUCUCCAUCAUCUGAACAUCUCUUACGAUCUCUGGUUGAACUUCCAUGUCUACUUCCCUUGCUCCAGUUCCGACUUAAGGAUUUGCUGGCGGUGACUCCAUUGGCAUUGGUGAGUAGUGAUACUCAUAGUAUUGAUCAAAAAAUUGUCCGAUGCUCUCCAAACUCUAAUCAAGAGAUCCUCCAAGUGAAAAUGCUGGACUCCAAGCUGGCAUCGAAAUCCACAGACUGCUUUCACGAGAACUGAUGUCAAUGAUGUUGACGGCAACUGUGCUGUCUGAUGAGAUCUCAAUAACUUCUGGCGCUGGUGGUUUAAUGAUCUCCACGUCGGACGAGCUGAUGUCCAUUGCUUCCCAAUACUCAUUGCCAUAACCAUACUGGUAGUUGAAUGAGUCGGAUGCUUGCGGAAUUGCUCCCAGUCCUGCGAAAAAGUUCAUGCCUUCCAGGUGAUCAGAUUCUUCUUCAACUUCUUCAAGUACUUCAGCUUCUUCAAAUUCAGAUGACCCAGUCUCAUGUGAACUCUCGGUGCUCUCGACCACAUUCUCAUCUUCAAAGUUAGAAUCAGACGCUGACUCGCUGGAUGAGCUUGACUCACUUGAUCCAUCAUAACCGGCUGCUCCAGACAGUUGUCCAACCCUCCGUAACCGUACCACAUUCCUCAUCCUCGAUCCACUCCCAACCUGUCGACUGCCUGCACCAGAAACUACAACACAAGGUAAAAGGGUAAGGUCCUAAAUUCUCAAAAACUGAUCUAACAUACCUAAUCCUAAUCCUAAGCAGAGGACAUGCCAGUUCCCUAAUGAUGUUGUUUGCGACUCCUUUUGACUCGAUAAAACAUUUUAAAACCCCCAAACGAAAGUAAUGGUAUCUCAACCAUUGCUUUGAUACCACCAUUUGUAACACCCCCGGACCGUCCUAGGCCGGACCAACCCGGAACGUCCCGGAAGCGUUACAAGGGUUGACAGUACCAAAGUCGUACCAGUUAAGACUUCAAAACAAAUUCAAAGUCUCGACCAGUCCGACCACUGUACCGUCCCUCUCAACCUCGGCCUAAGGCUUGCAAACCCGUACCUCGGUCAAGAGUUGUGUUAAGUUCGGACUAAACUCAAAUAUCAGCGUUCCACGGGGAUUUUAUUAAAGCAAACAUAAUUUUAUUUAUUUUACAAAGUCGGGAACUCGACUAAAGUCCUUAAAGAUAAACGCAGCAGAAAAUUAAAACAAACGAGUCAACGGGUACCCAUGAAAAACAAAACGAGUGAAAACAUCAACAUCUUGCGCCUUGCAAACAACAACGGAAAUCUACACCUGGCCUCGUCCUCCGCACACUGCAAACGCCCAAUCCCCUAAGGUUACCUGCAUAGUAGAAGAGGGAAUGAGUAAUCGAAAUCACUCAGUGAGUUCCCAAAACAAAACAACAACUACCCCCUUCAGCCCAUGCUCAAACAACAAGAGCAACACAACCAAGCAAUGCAAUAAUAACAACCGAAAUUAAAUAUGCAAUGCGAGAAUUUAAACAUGAAUGCAAUGCAAAAACUUAAACAUGAAUGCAAUGCAACUACUCUACACCCAAGUCUCCCACCGAGACUUAACUACAAAACUAAGACUCGAUCUAGACUCAAUCCUAGACUCAAACACUACAAAACAAAACACUCAAAGGAUGGCGCCACACGCAACACAUCCCGGGAUCCCUCACAACACAGAGCCCUAACUCUCCCAACUUAACACUCCCGACCACAAACACAUAAGUCACAUGAUCGGAAAACAUCAUCUCCGAGAAUUGGGCAUCUCCCAAUCUAACUCGGGCCUCAUCGUCAUGCAGCGCUUGUCCAUGGGCGCGACCCACUUCACGUGACAAGCCAUGGAGAGAAGGUCACUCCACCACUGAAGAAUUGGGUAUCUCCCAAUCUAACUCCGAGACAGCCAUGCACCUUAGUCUAGAUGAAACACAACACAUCAAAACAAUAAUCAAGCGUGAGGGAGCUCCACCUCUAACCUCCACACACAACUAAACUAAAUGCACAACACAUCUCACACUCACCCUAGCCUAGACAAAACACAAACACACUAGCAUGAGGGGGCAAAGCCACAAACCUCAAUACAACCCUAAGCCUAGACUCAACCAACAACAACUAAAGCGAGCGACACACUACAACUACCCGGCAAAAGAGAGAGUCUCACUCAAAUCUCUUUGCAACCCCAAACUACACUACAAUGCAUGAGCAUAUGAACUACAUGAGACAGUUACACUCAAAUCUUCAUGCUUCACAACAACAACUCACAAGCUACAACUAAUCAAACGAAUGCAUGCAUGCAACUAACGACCUAACAAACCAAUGCAUGUCUAACAUAUCAUCACCCCUAGAUGAAUAUGUUCACCACCACAAGACAUGCAAUGCACAAAUACAACUAAUGCAUGCAAGAAAGUAAACACUCAAGUAUGGGGACUACCAAUCUCCCACACACACACACACAAACAAUCAUGGCCACAAAUGUGGUUCAAUCACAAGAACUAAAACGUUUCUUGCUCCUCCACCUGCACACACACACACGCUUAGAACACACAACACAACCAGGGAAACCCACCUAAGACUUCACAAACCGCACAACAGCUCCAAGAGCAAAAGACCUAAGGUUAACACUAAAACCGAUCAAAGAGAGGCUAAAGGCUAAGAGGGAAAGGGAACCUACAAACGGUCAAAUAAGGUCUUACCACCACUCCUAGCACUCACAACUGAUCCUAGAGCAAGGAUCAAGCCACGCAAAAGCCUUUCACACUCACCUCACACACUCAAAAAUUUUAUCGGUUUUAAGCCAUUUUCUCUCUCUAGAACAAACCAUAAGAUCGACUGAGAGAGAAAGCUCAGG